GUGCCGAAGUGAUGACGUCACUUUUUAGGACAACUCCCGAAGCUAGCGGAGCAUGGGUUCCCUCGAUCGAAAAGCUAUGCAUUUUCCCCAUAGACUUUUGGAAAAUCGCAAAAAAUAAGAUCUGUGUUUAACAAAGAGUUGUGACCCUUACACGUUGUGUCUAUCAAGAUAAUCUUUACAAGUCAAUCCAAAAUGUAUACAUUUUGAAGCCUAUAUAAAUUUAAAAAAAACACAAGCAGGUUAUAACUGUGUGUUCUAU